rnacentral:rRNA from 1 species
UAGGGCGCAAGCGUUGUCCGGAAUUAUUGGGCGUAAAGAGCUCGUAGGCGGUUUGUCGCGUCUGCUGUGAAAACUCGAGGCUCAACCUCGGGCUUGCAGUGGGUACGGGCAGACUAGAGUGCGGUAGGGGUGACUGGAAUUCCCGGUGUAGCGGUGGAAUGCGUAGAGAUCGGGAAGAACAUCAGUGGCGAAGGCGGCCUGCUGGGCUGUUGCUGACGCUGAGGCGCGACAGCGUGGGGAGCAAACAGG